rnacentral:rRNA from 1 species
CUACGGGAGGCAGCAGUGGGGAAUAUUGGACAAUGGGCGAAAGCCUGAUCCAGCAAUGCCGCGUGAGUGAUGAAGGCCUUAGGGUUGUAAAGCUCUUUUACCCGGGAUGAUAAUGACAGUACCGGGAGAAUAAGCUCCGGCUAACUCCGUGCCAGCAGCCGCGGUAAUACGGAGGGAGCUAGCGUUGUUCGGAAUCACUGGGCGUAAAGCGCACGCAGGCGGCUACUCAAGUCGGGGGUGAAAGCCCGGGGCUCAACCCCGGAACUGCCCUCGAAACUAGGUAGCUAGAAUCUUGGAGAGGCGAGUGGAAUUCCGAGUGUAGAGGUGAAAUUCGUAGAUAUUCGGAAGAACACCAGUGGCGAAGGCGACUCGCUGGACAAGUAUUGACGCUGAGGUGCGAAAGCGUGGGGAGCAAACAGGAUUAGAUACCCCAGUAGUCC